rnacentral:rRNA from 1 species
AGUGAACGCUGGCGGUAGGCCUAACACAUGCAAGUCGAACGGCAGCACAUUAAGAGCUUGCUAUUACGGGUGGCGAGUGACGGACGGGUGAGGAAUACAUCGGAAUCUACUUUUUCGUGGGGGAUAACGUAGGGCAACUUACGCUAAUACCGCAUACGACCUACGGGUGAAAGCAGGGGAUCUUCGGACCUUGCGCGAAUGAAUGAGCCGAUGUCGGAUUAGGUAGUUGGCGGGGUAAAGGCCCACCAAGGCGACGAUCCAUAGCUGGCCUGAGAGGGUGGUCGGCCACAAUGGGAAUGAGACACGGCCCAAGAUCCUUCGGGAAGCAGCAGUAGGGGAUCUUUGGCCAUGGACGAAAGUCUGGACGAGCAAAGACGCGUUGGUGAAGGAGGUCUUCCGGUUGUUAAACUCUUUUUGUAGAGAAGAACAUGGGUGAGAGUGGAACCCUGCUCUAGUGACGGUACCUAACCAGUAAGCAACGGCUAACUACGUG